rnacentral:rRNA from 1 species
UACGUAGGGUGCGAGCGUUAAUCGGAAUUACUGGGCGUAAAGCGUGCGCAGGCGGUUCGUUAAGUUCGUUGUGAAAGCCCCGGGCUCAACCUGGGAACUGCAAUGGAAACUGGCGGGCUUGAGUGUGGCAGAGGGGGGUGGAAUUCCGCGUGUAGCAGUGAAAUGCGUAGAGAUGCGGAGGAACACCGAUGGCGAAGGCAGCCCCCUGGGCCAACACUGACGCUCAGGCACGAAAGCCAGGGGAGCAAACGGG